rnacentral:rRNA from 1 species
UACGUAGGGUGCAAGCGUUAAUCGGAAUUACUGGGCGUAAAGCGUGCGCAGGCGGUUAUGUAAGACAGAUGUGAAAUGCCCGGGCUUAACCUGGGAACUGCAUUUGUGACUGCAUGGCUAGAGUUUGGCAGAGGGGGGUAGAAUUCCACGUGUAGCAGUGAAAUGCGUAGAGAUCGGAAAGAACACCAACGGCGAAAGCACUCUGCUGGGCCGACACUGACACUGAGAGACGAAAGCUAGGGGAGCGAACGGG